rnacentral:rRNA from 1 species
UAACGCGUGAGCAAUCUGCCUUUGGGUGGGGGAUAACAGCCGGAAACGACUGCUAAUACCGCAUGAUGCAGCGGGGUCGCAUGAUUUUGCUGCCAAAGAUUUAUCGUCCAAAGAUGAGCUCGCGUCUGAUUAGCCAGUUGGCGGGGUAACGGCCCACCAAAGCGACGAUCAGUAGCCGGACUGAGAGGUUGAACGGCCACAUUGGGACUGAGACACGGCCCAGACUCCUACGGGAGGCAGCAG